CGGAGCGCGAAGCAAUUUGAUUCAAUAGUCAGGCAGUUGAAGCGCCUGGCCUUGCGAUCGGCUGACAUUCGAUGAAUGCAGGUGCAACUAAUUUCAACAAUGUGUCUUACAAAGGAACAUCCCGAACCCGAAAUCUUCGAUUUGGUUGAAUUUUUGGAAAUCUUCCAUUACUAGGAUCCCGGCCAUUCAGUUAAAAAGGUCGGUUUAAAGGAUAAAGAAAUUUCAUCUAAAAUCUAAAUCGAACAGUUAUUUAGGUUUGUUUCCUUAGUGUAUACUACAAUGCUGCAAAGAAAAACCCAGUAAGCUUUCGGCAAUGAUAAAUAUAUAACAAUGAACAAAAAAUUGACUUUCUAACGAUCUUCAAAAGAUUUAAUAUAACAAUAUAUACUAUGUGCCGAGACAAAUUGUGUGUAAGAACUUCUUUUGCUAUAUACAUAUAUUUUAGAUAAAGAAAAAGUAUAAGUUCCAUUAAUCAAACACGGAAGUCUUCUAAAAAAUGGAAAAGACAAUACCAUCCACCGUGACAGAACGUUCUCGGUUAGUCGUAAAUAAUCUAAAUGGUUAUAAUAGCUCAAUAGCUUUCGAAAGAACAAACGAGACGAAGAAGCUGGAUGUCCUCACCAAUAAAGGCAACCAGUAUGAUAAUUAUAUACGAACGAUGUUAUGUACAAUACAAUGUUAUAUAUAAUAUCGCGGCGUCGCAAGAGCCGUCUCGUAUCAGGAUUUUAUUAUAACUGCUUAACGUUUACGUCGAGUUAACAGGUCGCGAGCGCGCGGUAAAUAACAUCCAGAACGUUGCAUAAAUCAGCGAUAUCUACGAAAAGUCAGAAAAAGCGCGUGAUAGGUCGCGUAACAUUACGAACGAUUUGAGAUAAAGACCUACGACUUUAAUCAUAUCCAUACUAUGUACACGGAGCAAUUCUAAACCUAUAACCGAAGACAUUCGUGCAUGCUGUUUUUAGAAAUAAGAAAAAAAAUUGUACAUUUUUAGAUGAAUGGUUUAGGUGGCAGGUGCACAAAAGAAAUCAAAAGAGCCGCAUAUGUUCGGCAAAAAUCAAAGGAAAAAAGGAAAGGGGGCAGGUGUGCGUGCGUGCGUGCGUGAUCGUGCGAAAAGAGUCAAAUGCGUGAACGAGUUUGCGAAUGUUGCGCACCGUGUGAAUAUACCUAUCGAAAGAUGUCACUGCGUCUAUAUGCGCAUAUCCGUAAAUCGUAUGGAAAUAAAACUCUAAGGUCGAUUUCCCUUUCCACGAGGCGGUCUCCGGAGCGGUGGUCGUACUUGUUAUUCGAUUAUGUAAAACUUAUGCGAAGCAGAGGUUGAACGAAAGCGACGUAAAACGUCGAAUGUAUAUAGAAAACGGACGAGCGGCGAAGACGGACGGCGAGCCGUUACGUCGAGGCCGAUACACAGCAAACACAGCGCGAUAAAAUCGUGUCCCCCACAUUGAAUUUACGACAACUUGGAACUCACUCUCGAUCGUUCAAGAAAUUAAGCAGAAAGGUCAAUGAAGAGGGGCGGAUCAGUAGAUAUAUCGGCACAUCAAAAAUUACGGCGACAGGAAUCUUUCCUCGAGGAGUGCAUGUGCAUUUCGCAAGACGGCGGCGCCUCCGGAAAUGGAAUCCGCCGCUAGAGAGUGUACGCUAAGAGAGAGAGAGAGAGCCCUACUAAACUUAGCGCUCGAGUUUUGCAGUUACGUAAGGUCCAGUAACCCGACGGCGUAAAAUUAGGAUAGCUCUUCUUGCCUUCGUGUACAUCUAGGUAACAGUCGUCGUCGUCGUCGUCAUUGUACGAUGUGAUUUAUUCUCUCGUAAAAAAAUCCGUCAUAUUUGAAGACGGUGACCAAUAAAAACUUUCU